UCAAACUUGGUCAUUUAGAGGAAGUAAAAGUCGUAACAAGGUCUCCGUUGGUGAACCAGCGGAGGGAUCAUUACAGAGUUGCAAAACUCCCACACCCUCGCGAACCUUACCCGUACCGUUGCUUCGGCGGGCGGCCCCGCGCCGUAAAGCCUGCCCCCGUGCAGGCGCCCGCCGGAGGUAACCCCCCCAAAACCUCUUGUUUCCCAACGGCCUCUCUGAGCGGAUUUAGAAGCAAAUACGUUAAAACUUUCAACAACGGAUCUCUUGGUUCUGGCAUCGAUGAAGAACGCAGC
rnacentral:misc_RNA from 1 species